UCCGUAUAUAAGAGUGCAGUGUGCUCUUUAUCAGUAUCCCAACUCUGUUCCAGUGUCCUGGACAUCAGUAAGCCUUGUGGUUGCUGUUUGCAUCUCUGUGAUGAAGGCUUGGAUCCUGCUCCUGCUAGCAAUUGCUGCCUGUGCUUUAGUAUCUGGGGGGACAGAUGCUGCCCAUGAUGGACUUCUCCCAGACGCUUCUACUGUCGCUGGACAAACCAGAAACCUCAUUGGUCAAUUGCUCCAAGACAUGAUUAAGGCUCUAAUUGGUGACCCUCAAGCAAAUCAUGGCUCUACAAAUCCUACUUCAAGUUGCAGGAACUGAAUUGUUAUCGAUACAGGCAACAAUAAUACAAAACCUUCCCUCUGACCACAGUCAAACAGUCGUAUGGGAAAGGAUUGGGAAAGAUGAAGGUCUUGGCAUUCAGAGGUUCUAGCCCUCCAUGCAACAUGAAUACCAAUCAAUCAAUAAAAUACUAAUGAAUCAAACAGCA